rnacentral:rRNA from 1 species
AUGGACAAUGAGUACUCAAUGGGAUACUAUCUCACCGAUGGCAUCUAUCCCGAAUGGGCAACUCUUGUGAAGUCCAUCAAGGAGAAAAAUGGGGUGCCCUUAACAAGAAAAGAGGCUCAUUUCACCAAGGCACAAGAGGCAGCCCGCAAGGAUAUUGAGAGAGCUUUCGGUGUUUUGCAAGCAAGGUUUGCCAUAGUUCGUGGUCCAGCUCGGUUUUGGGACAAAAAAACCUUGAUGAACAUCAUGAAAUGUUAUGUGAUUCUACACAACAUGAUCCUAGAGGAUGAAAGAGGGUUAAACCUCCCUUGUUUCUGUGACAAUGUUGGUACCCGUGUGCAACCGGAAAGAAAUCCUUCUCGCAUACACGCUUUUCUUCAAGCACAUCGUGAGAUUGAGGAUGCAACCACUCAUGGUCGGCUCCGGGAUGAUCUAAUAGAGCACCACUGGCAGUUGGAUGGGCGGCGCAUUGGCCCAUGA